CGCGGCCUAUCAGCUUGUUGGUGGGGUAACGACCUACCAAGGCGACGACGGGUAGCGGGCCUGAGAGGGUGGUCCGUCACACUGGGACUGAGACACUGCCCAGACUCCUACGGGAGGCUGCAGUCGAGAAUCUUCCGCAAUGGACGCAAGUCUGACGGAGCGACGCCGCGUGGAGGACGAAGGCUCUCGAGUUGUAAACUCCUGUCACGGAUUAUGAAUGACGUAUCGUUAAUCGCGGUACGUUUGACGUAAGUCCGAGAGGAAGCACCGGCUAACUCUGUGCCAGCAGCCGCGGUAAUACAGAGGGUGCAAACGUUGUUCGGAAUCACUGGGCAUAAAGCGCACGUAGGCGGCCCAUUAAGUGUGGAGUGAAAUCCCACGGCUCACCCGUGGAACUGCUCUGCAUACUGGUGGGCUCGAGGACGGUAGGGGAGAGCGGAACUCUUGGAGGAGCGGUGAAAUGCGUAGAUAUCAAGAGGAACACCAAUGGCGAAGGCAGCUCUCUGGUCCGUUUCUGACGCUGAGGUGCGAAAGCCAGGGUAGCGAACGGGAUUAGAUACCCCGGUAGUCCUGGCCGUAAACGAUGGGCACUAGCUAGAGGCCCUUCCUGUGGGGUCUCUGGCGAAGCAAAUGUACUAAGUGCCCCGCCUGGGGAGUACGG
rnacentral:rRNA from 1 species